rnacentral:rRNA from 1 species
AGUAAAAAGUCGUAACAAGGUCUCCGUUGGUGAACCAGCGGAGGGAUCAUUACCGAGUUUACAACUCCCAAACCCAAUGUGAACCAUACCAAACUGUUGCCUCGGCGGGGUCACGCCCCGGGUGCGUCGCAGCCCCGGAACCAGGCGCCCGCCGGAGGGACCAACCAAACUCUUUCUGUAGUCCCCUCGCGGACGUUAUUUCUUACAGCUCUGAGCAAAAAUUCAAAAUGAAUCAAAACUUUCAACAACGGAUCUCUUGGUUCUGGCAUCGAUGAAGAACGCAGCGAAAUGCGAUAAGUAAUGUGAAUUGCAGAAUUCAGUGAAUCAUCGAAUCUUUGAACGCACAUUGCGCCCGCCAGUAUUCUGGCGGGCAUGCCUGUCCGAGCGUCAUUUCAACCCUCGAACCCCUCCGGGGGGUCGGCGUUGGGGAUCGGGAACCCCUAAGACGGGAUCCCGGCCCCGAAAUACAGUGGCGGUCUCGCCGCAGCCUCUCCUGCGCAGUAGUUUGCACAACUCGCACCGGGAGCGCGGCGCGUCCACGUCCGUAAAACACCCAACUUCUGAAAUGUUGACCUCGGAUCAGGUAGGAAUACCCGCUGAACUUAAGCAUAUCAAUAGNCGGAGGA